ensembl:lncRNA
GGCUCCUGCGGCGUCUGUGGGGCUGGCUGCGGGUCUCCGCAUCCCGAUGUUGACGAGGUGAGCGGCUUCGAGUCCGGGCCCGCCCUGGCUGCCUGGACCGGCUUCCAGCAGCCGCUGCGGAAGCUCUCGAGGACCUCGGUGUUCCUUGUCCUGUGUGUCUGUGGGUGCCGCUCUCAUCACUAAGGGCUGGUGCCUGCCUGCUCCCACGGUGCCUUUGGGGCUGGCUCGGGGAACCUGUGGCGUGGCGCUGCAGCGGAGAGCGGCUUCUUGUGUGAUCCUGCUGUCCCCGUCUGCGCCGGUGGCUGGAGCCAGCUGCACGGGAGUGCCUCGUGGACCGCGAAGCCUGCUGGCUGGCAGAGUUCGGGGUGCUGCUCUCAACGCUCAGCAGGGCUGCAGCACGGCUGCUCCCGCAGCAUUCUUGGGGCUCGUUCCAUUCAUCGUCAAUGCGAUGUAAACGUGUGCAGACUCUGCGCCAUUUUAUCCUGUGCUGGUUAGGCGGGACGCCGCUCUCAGGCACCUUGGGAACGUGAGCUGGCCCCGAUGGUGCCUGGCUGGUGGUGCUGGAGGUGCUGCUGCUCUCCAAUGUUAUGGGGCCUAUGAGAGGCAGCAGUCCCUGCUGGCUGGCGGUGCUGGGGCCAGCUCUGUCCACACCGCUGCCAGAGGCUGUAAGGGGAGACGGGAAGGUGAGCGGGAUGGGACUCCAGCCCCAGGGUGGGACAGGCUCCCAUCCCUCGUGGGCCAAAGGGACUGGAGCAAGGCCUCGCCUGGCCCCAGCCCAGCAGCACGCGGCUGUUUGCCUCUUACCGGUGCCCUCUCCAGCACAGGCGUUGCACUCCCAGCUGGCUGUGCCCUGACUCAAGAAGGAGCAGCGCCGAUGGGUGCCUUGUGCAGCACAGGAGCUGCAGAGGAGCAGCUGCCAGGGCCUGGGAAACCAACGGGUUGUGGCCGUGAGGACAAAGUGACCUGAGCCAGGGAGUGCCCGGCACAGCUCUGGUGCUCAGUCUGUGCUGCCCCAGCCUGGGGUGAGGCUGCGAUCCCACGCAGAGCCCCAGAAGGCUGUUGAGGUAACUCACCCCUCUCUCUCUGCCUGCUCCCUGCCUUGUGGGUAAAGGCAGCUGCUGGCAUCACAGCGAUGGUGCCGAAUUCGCAGGGAUGCAUAGGCAUUGUUGUCCUCCCAUGUUGGUCUUCUGCCAGAGAAGGGAGGGAAUGUGAUGAGCACUCACCGCCCCAGGACUAAAACUUAUGCAUGGAAUCCCUCCUCAUCUACCCUAACCCCCGUUCCAGCUUCCCAAUGAUGCUGAGGCCCAUGUUAAUGGCUGCAAAGGGCCAGGCCUGCUGGGGCAGCUCCUUCCAAAGGACAGCUUGUGUGCCCUCACAUCUCGAGAGCUGGUUGAAAGACACCAACCUGAAUGGGAUUCGGAUCCCCAUUUUGACCAUGUCUCGAAGAAACCAGUCCCUGUCUCUGCAGAGGGGGCACUGGAAGCAAUAGAUGCCGGCACGCAGGGCCUGUUCCUGCAGCAGAAACACGAGCAGGGUGAGUGUGAGCCGGGCCUGGUGCUGCUGAGCGCCUGCGGUGCCCACGGGAUGAGGGAAGGGGAGGGCUCCUACCUGGAUGCAGGCCCUGUGGAACCAGGCGUGUUGGCAGGAUGGGCACACCAUGGUGCUGUACGACCUGCUGUCCCCCACGGGCUCCAUGCAGAUGAUGCAG